GUCCUCUGUGGCGCAAUGGGUCAGUGUGUCAGGCUGUUAACCAGAAGGUUGGUGGUUUCAGCCCACCCAUUGCAGGGAUU